CAGCUAUCAAAACUUAUGGGAAAUGGAAUUGAAGACAACUACUUCUAGAAUUGGUGCAUGGAAGCUUCUCAUAGGUGAUUAGCCACACUCUUCUUCUGUCAACCUGGUGCAGAAAAGCUUGAAGACCUUGGAAAUCACAUAUUGAUGAUGGAGGAGAUACAAGAAUGAAGGACCCUGGGUUCCUGAAUCAACACUCUAAGAAGAGACUCCUUGAAAUCAAGAGCACUCAUUUUGACAUUGCAAACGGAAAAAUUCACUUCUAUCAGGGGACUGAUCGGAGUCAAACCAUAUGCUGUGGCUUUUGCUCCAUGGAAAUCUCAACUAUACUGCAAGAAUAAUUAUUCCUACUUAAUGAAGUUACAGAAGAGAAUGUGGUGCUGGACGGUACUGACUGCAUGGGGAGAGGCCAUACCACAGAAACCUCAAUCUGCCUGAGCCGUGACUCUGAGAGCUGGAGUACCACUGGACAAGACCAUUUAUUUAAUAAGAAGAAUGUUCUCCUGGCCUGAG
rnacentral:lncRNA from 10 species